CGGGGAGUACCUCAGUCUGGUAGAGGCAAACCUUUGGGUGGUUUGUGUCGCGGGUUCGAAUCCCGCCUCCCCGACCC
rnacentral:tRNA from 1 species